AACAAAACUCACCAGGAGUCCGGCCAGGAGCUGGAAAGGGGCUCUCGGCGUGGAGGCCAUUGCAGAGGGCGGGAAGGGAGGCAGGCAGAGGCUGAGGCAGCGGCCGCCCGGGCGGAAAGGCGACCAGGAACAACUUGAGAAAAUGCAGGUCACUUCUGGUGUGAGAGAACUGGCUGUCUGCAAGGAGGUUGCCCAGAGGACGUCCAGAUGUUUUGAUGUUUUACCAUCCUUGUGGGAGGCUUCCCUCAUGUCCCCGCAUGUGGAGCUGGAGCUGACAGAGGGAGCUCACCCACUCUCUCCAGAUUCGAACUGGCGACCUAUCAAUCAGCAGUUCUGCCAGCACAAGGGUUUAACCCAUUGCGCCACCGAGGGCUCUGGUUAACAUUGUGGGUUUUUAUGAAGUUAAAUCAGAGAUUGUGGGAAUACAACAGAAACAAUAGAACUGAAUAAAAACCUUUAAAAUGUGCCAAUAAAUACUAGAUGCUUAAGAUCAAGAUGCUAAACUAAUGAUAUGCUUAUUAUUUCAGGCAGAUAAUUUGUGGCAUACAUUCUACUACAAUGCAUUUUAACAGCUGAAACAAUGCCAACAGUUGUGACAAUUCAUAGGGUAUUUGCAUUCCAAUACAUGCUAGAUUUACAGAAGAAUUACCUCUCUGUCCAGAUGUGGUGAUGCUACAGUGAUACACCCUGUAUCUGGAUGUAUGGCAAAUAGGGCAGAGGUCUGAGGACUUAGAAGAUGUUGGGACAAAAUUCGGUAUUUCAGUUUGGUAUGUAGAGUGUCUGGCUCAUCUUUGUCUGUUGCUGUCACUUGUCCAACUAGUGUUCCUGCAUGUACAAGGCAUCAAGUUUAAAUUUCUUUCUUUCAUAAGAAAGUUUACAAAAUGUUAUUUAAACAUUAAAUACCUAAAUCCAGGUCUUUUUCAGAAAUUAUUUAUUUUUCUUAACUUUAAGACAUCUAUGGAGAAAUGCAAAAUCUCAUGACAUAUGACUAAUGAGAUUAAGAGAGAAGAUUCUCAUUGCUUUUUUUAAUUUGAUAGUACAAUCAAAUAUUAACUAAUUUCAACUUAUUUCAAAUAAACAAAAAGAUACACCAAGGAUCUCUUACUACACGUUGUUUGGGGAAAGUGUAUGUAUGUGUUCCCUUCAUAUUAAGAACAAAACGUUGAAAUAUAGGAAUUUAAGAUCUGAAAGCUGAACUCUUUCCCUUUCUUUCCCUUUCUCUGAAAAAAAAAAGUUUCAAAUACCAAGAAGUUAUCAAGCAAAAUACAAUUUCUUGAUUCAUGUAUAGAUACCAGUAUAGGUAGCUUUCUUUCUGAAUAUUCAUGGUCUUGUAUAUGAAUGGGAAAUUUCCAUCCAUUGUAUCUUCGAUCUAUGCAUGUUGUUUUCAAGUGAUAGUAAAAGUUCAAUGGAUCUAACUUAAGAAUUUUGAGUUGAACAAGAGCAUGACCAGUACUGGGCCCUUUUCCUUCAGAGGUUUGGCAUUAAUGGAAUUUCCAUUUAUCUCAGAGAAGCUGAGAGAGAAGCAGUAAUAAAAUCAAAAAUGGAUUGACUACCAUCAUAGCAAUAGAUACACAGGAAUCAUAGCUGUUGUUACUGUGUUAUUACAUUAAUAUAAUUUUAAAAAACAGAGGAAGUAUAGUAUCAAGCAUGUACAUAUGUGCGCACAAACAUUAUGUGUGAACAGGGAGUUGCCUUCAGAAUGUGGAUAUAAACUUGCAAUUAAAGCAACAAUUCACAUUGUAAUUUUCUACUAUGACAGGAAACUCGUUUGAGUGAACAACAAUAAUAAGGAAACAAAACAUUAUCAUAAUUGUCACCAGCAGCAUCUUGAUUCCACACUUUACAGAUGUUUGAGAGUUUGGGCGAUCAAUUCUUCAAAUUCUUUCAAAGAAUCUAGGAUUCAGAUGGACAAUGAAGUAUGUUCCAAAUAGUAUAACUUUUGUGCCAUUGUGAUCCCAUCUAUUUCAAACUUAUGCUUUCUUAGUUCAUUAGUAAUUGCUAUCAGAGCACCAAUCACCAGUGGAACCACAAUUAUUUUCUUUUUUGCAGAAGCACUGAAUUUCAAUGUAUAAUUCUUAAGAUCUCAUCAUCUUUUCUUCCUCUUUAUCCUCAGUACUCCAUCCCCUGAAAUUACCCUACUGAUAAUAUGACAUACAUGUUGCUGUUUGUGGUGUUGUUGCUGCUACUACUAUUAUCAACAUUUUGAUGCAAGCACUAUUUAGAAUAAAUGCAGAAGAAGCAAAGAAGCAGGCCAAAGAGAAGCAGAAUCCAGACAAGUCUUCCCAGCAUGGUACCUUUACAUCUUGCCGCAGCUGGUAACACCAUUUCCAAAGAUUCAGAAUCCAAACAGUGUAGGGAUUAUCAGACACCAAACUUUUAUGUCUAGUGAUGGUCCCCAAGUGACAGAGGCUGAAAGGAGAAAAAAGGAUGCUCUCAAGCCACCAAAGCAGCAGCAGCAGCAGCAACAACAACAACAGAUAGUGAUGCAAAAAUGUGAUGCAGAAAGUGAUUGCAACUUUCUUCUUCCUUGCCUCUUUUUUGCUUUGACUAACUAAGGUAAAAAGCUGGUUGUUAAUUCAGCUCUCCUGCCAAAUUUAAUAGGGCUUGUCCUGAAAGGGACUUGUGGAACGUGCUUUUUCUCAUUUCAGUGUUCCCCUCCCCUACUGAAAUGCUGGGGGGAGGAGGACGAUGGACAAAUUGGGCCUUAAGGCUUCCCCUUCCCUCCCCAGACACUUAGGAUGAAUUAUUUUUGGUUUCACAGAAUCCCACCAAACUAGCAAUAAGAAAUACCAGAGGAAUGAGCCUCCAGCUGAGGCCAACCUGUUCUUCUCUACCUGUUGAAGGCCUCAGCCUCUAGCCAUGCCACCCUGCCUCUUCCUUGCCUUCUUGAUUGUCUAGGUUCUUAUUAUAGUAAAUGAAACAAAAACAACUCCCAUAUAUAAAACAGACUCCACAACUUUACUUAAUCUGGUCUUCCUUCUCAUUACCUUGGAUUACCAGAUAUUUCUUGGUUAGUGAUGUUUUUCUGGGACAUGUGAAGAACUUAGUCAGAUUUUAUUCGUGCUUUCAUUAAGUAUUAUUGCAGAAAUAUGUGAUUUGCACCACUCACAAAAGGGACAGACAAAAUGUGUGGAUUUUGUAUACAAAAUCCACACAUUUUAGGAACAGGUUUGUUCCUAAAAUGCACUGGCCAAAAUGUUCUCAUUUAUAAAGCUUAUACAGGCUGGGUGGGGUGUGUACAGCCUAGAUGCUGUUGGACUGCAGUGGCCAGCAGAAGUAGCCAGCCAAGCCAAAGGUAAUGAUGAAAGUUUUACUUCAAUAUCUGGCACUUCUCUGGAAUUCUUUUUCUAGGGAACCAAGAAUGACCCCCUCCCUCUGUCGUUCUGGUAGCAACCUAAAACCUUUUCAUUCAGGCAGAUUUUUAAAGAGGAAUGUUUUUUUUAAAAUGAGCCAGCGGUGUUUUAUGCAUUUAAAUAGAAUUUAGUGGUUUAAACUAUUUGCUUUCAAUUUUUAAUACUCCUAGGUUUAAUUAUGUGGUAGUUUUUAUAUACUUUAGGUUUUUAAUUGUACAUUGUAUUGUUUUUAGUACUGUUCACCAUUUUAAGCCUCUUUUAAUAAUAGAUACCACAGGGAUCUAUUCCCCCCAGUGGCUUCAUGUAUAUGUUAAACAACAUAUGUAAAAAUGCUAUUUAACAUAUACAUGAAACCACUGGGAGAGAUCAUCUGGAGAUCUGGAAUGCAGUGCCAUCUAUAUGCAGAAGGACCCACCUUUACAACUUUUUCCUUCUCCAAGCCAAGAAGGCUGUCCUGGUCCCAAACCAGUGUCUGUAAACUGAAUGAAGGUAAACACAUUGAACCUUAAUGUAGACAAAACAGAGGUGUUCCUGGUUAGUCAGAAGGCAGACAAGGGAAUAGGGAUUCAAACUAUGUUAUAUGUUAGUUGGGGUUACAUUCCCUCUGAAGACACAUGUUCACAGUUUGAGUGUACUCAGGUCUGAAUCUGGAGACCCAGAUUUCUGCAAAUGCCAGGAGUGCCUCCCCAUAUUUAAAAUCUGAGCACCAGAUGCCCCUCUUCCUUGAGACACCAGAUCUGUCCAUUAUGGUACAUGCCUUAGCUACAUCCCAUUUGAAUUACUGUAUUUACUCUACUUGGAACUGCCUUGCAAGAGUGUUCAGAAACUUCGGCUGGUCCAAACAGCUAUGGCCAUAUUGUUAAUUUAGGCUGGCUAUAGGAAGCAAAUACCUCCCUUGCUGAAACAGCUCUAUUGGCUACCAGUUUGUUUCUGGGCAUAAAUCCAAGUGCUGGUUAUGACCUAUAAAGCUCUAUAUGGUUCAUGUCCAAGUUAUUUGGCAGAUCAUAUCUCCCUACAGGAACCUGCCCCAACUCUGAGAUCCUUAGGAGAGGCCUCAGCGCCGCCACCAUUGCAAGCCUGGUUGGUGGGGAUGUUAACAAGAACCCUUCUCGGUAGCUGUCCCUGGACUCUACCUGCCUGGGGAAGUUGGAAAGGCCCCCUUCAUGUUGUCCUUCCAAUGACAAACUAAAACCUUUUUAUUCAGAACAAGGUUUUAAAAUAGAAAAAAAAGAACAGGCCAGAAAGUCUGUAUGGUGUAUGAAUUGUUUCUAAUAGUGUUAUAUUUACUUGUUUUAUGUGAUUUUAUUUAAUUGUUUCAGUAAUGGUAAUAUGUAAUUUUAUUUUAAUAUUUAUAUUCAUAGAUUUUUAAAAUUGUAUUUUUAAAACAUUUCAGCCACUUUGGGUUUCAGCAAUAAAUGCAGGGAAUGAUGGUGAUGAUGAUGGUACAUACAUAUUUUACAGAUCUAUCCAUUUAUGACAAUUAGUUAUUAAAAAGAGUCCUGUAAUCCUUUUGUGUCCUUGUUUCAGAGAAGUCUGAAUUCAAUGUGCACACUAAGCUAAGAACCAUCUCUGAUUUAAUUUUGCCAGUAUCAGUUCAUCAGUUGAGGUUUUCAGGCUGCAAGAGGCAGAAGGAAGGCCUUAGGAAAGCUAUGUUGAUAUUGCGUUAGUCCGGGUCACUAGGCUGUAAGGAGAGCCCUGUAAGAAGAGCCUAUCUAAUCCAGAAUUCUGUUCACACAAUUGCCUAUCAGUUGUCUAUGGGAGGCUGAGGAUUAGAACAAGAGUGCUCAUGUAUCUGACAGAUAAUAAUGCAUAAUAUAGAUCCUUGCAGGACCACAUAUCUAUUAGUAUUUAUUUACUGGAGUAUUUUAAAGUUGUAAAGCAGGAUUAAGGACAUAUCACUAACAACUAAUCCCCAAACUACCAUAUAUAGUCGAGUAUAAGUUGACCUCAGGACAUAAAAGAAUUACAUGGUCAAAAUUUCUGAUUUCUAUAUGACCUGUAGAAAAAUCGGGGGUAAUUCUACAAAUAGGAAAGUGCCAGUGUUUUGUCAGGGGGGGCAGUUGACCCUGACUGCCACUGCUUUUUUCUGACUCAGGCAUUCAAAGAGGCCGGAAACAGUGCAGUGGUGAAUAUAGUAGAGGUAUCAGGGCAUCUUUUAGGUUGUCCAGGAUGGACUAAUAGUCUGGAGCCCUCUAAGUUGGCUAAGGCACAAACACUGGAGAGCCAUAGGUUGAAGAGGCCUGGUAAGCUUUCACCUUUGUCCACUCUACUCAGAAAGCAAGUGGUUCUUUUUUCCAGUCAAGUGGUUUUGGGACUGAUUUAUUGACUAAAAUUUCUAGACUUAUACAUGAGUGUAUAGGUCACUAUAUCAACAACAUUCAGCUUUGGCCCUACCCUUCAAUUGCUAUCAGAUGUUGUUGCUUGUGCUAGACCUAAAGAUGACAUUUUAAAGAGUGAUAUACUUGGACAAGGAGCUAGACAAGAAGCACAGCUUUUGCAUUAGAACAACAUUGCAUCCAUUUGGUUAUUUCAGUUGAGAUACAAAGUUAAAUUAGACGGCAUUCUAAUUGACAUUUUAAUCAUUAUAAGCCUGAAAUUUUCAAAUUAUACAUGUAGACUUAUACCUAUAAAGAUCUUUUCAGUUGUUUACCAAGCACAACAAUAAGCUUUCACAAAUGGUGUCUGCUUCUGCAAUGAGUUCCUCAAAACAGUAGAAAGCCUAACUCUGUAUUAUUCUGCGGAGGAAAAAUAAAGCCUGAUGUGUCUGUAAGUUCUGGAGUCUACCCGAUUCAGCAUAAAAGAAGUUCCAAUUGAAGUGUAGAAAUAACAUGUGGUCCUGAUCUAGGAAGAGGAGCCCAUGUACACAAUCAGUCUUUCAUGAAGUGCAAAUACAGAUGUUCAUCUGGAUACACCUCCACAGCUGCCUCUUGCAUUUGCAUGUAUGGACUGAACUGGCAUUGCUAGUUUGUAUAAUACCUGCUCAGACAAUAUUGUGUUUUUCCUUCCAUUUGUUGCUUUGUUAAACAGGAAGAGAGGAUUGAAAUUGGUCCAAAUAUUAAUUAAUGUGAUCUUGGGAAAUCAUUUGGGUAUAGUUGCCAUCAUCUGAAAUUUCAUAUUUGUCAUCUGUAUUUGAACACUCCAAAAUAGGUGUGGCCCUGUAUAGAUUCUUUCACUCACCUCUUGGGCAUGUUCUUUGGAAGUAAUCCACAUCCUAAGCCUAAACUUGCCUGUGCUUGUAUUAUGUUAGUUUCAGCACAUAUUUGACACUGAAGAUACUUUUUGAGAUUAUAGCAUAUUGUUCCUGCCAAGGAUUUCAGAUAAUUCAUCAUGAUUUGGUAAUGUGUAUAUUCUGUUUGAGUACCAUUUAUUAAAGUCUGGCUGCAUUUUUUUUAAAAGAACAACUCAAAUAAUGUAUGUAGAUGAAGGGAUGAGCCUUUUUGUCUCUUCACACAGAAUCUCUGCAAUUAAAACGGUAUACCAAUUGUCAUGGCUGAUUUUUUUCUAAUCGUUUCAGUGUAGCUGAGUCUAGUGUUUUACCUUCACUAGAACCGCAGUAGAAAUGCUGCCAAAAAUAUCUCUCCUUGUUGAUCUCUGCCACUGAAAAAUCAAAUCUGUUGUUAUCUACAGAACCCUGAUAUGGAGUUUCUGUCUUUGGCUGCAUCUACGCUGUAGAAUUAUAGGCAGUCCCCAAGUUACAAACAUCUGACUUACAAAUGACUCAUAGUUACAAACAAGGGUGAAACAUCAGGAAGUGAGAGAAAUCUACCCCUAGGAAAGGAAAUUGACUCCUGAAAGAGUUAUCCUCAAGAAAAGGCAUCUCAACUGAAGCUUUCUCAUCAAUCCUUGUUUCCACAACUUUUAGCUCUCCAAAGCUAAAAAAAAACAUAUGUUUUUGGCUGGAGUUACAUUUUAAAAACAUACCUGUUAUAACUUACAUACAAAUUUAGUUUAAGAAUAUACCUACAGAACCUACCUUGUUUGUAAAUUGGGGACUACUUGUAAUGCAGUUUGACACUUAACUGCCAAAGCAGAAUGUUAUAGAAUCAUAGGAGUUGAAGUUAUAGCCUUCUUUGUCAAAGAGUGCUGGUGUCUCAGCAAACUACAAAUCCCAGGAUUCCAUAGCAUUGAACCAUGGCAGUUGCAGUUAGUAUCAAACUGCAGUAACUCUACAGUGCAGUUGCAUCCCAAGUCACACUAGAAGUAAGUUGCUAAAGCAUGCUACGCUCUUGGGAACCGGUUCUACACAAGAAAAACAAGUCCUGUUCAUGAAGCCAGAAUAUGUAGAUCAUCAUUAUUAUUUGCAUCAUUUUUGAUCAAAUAAGUGGAAUGAAACAUAAUUUCAAUAUAAAUGAAAUGGCUUUGUAAUAAUGAUUCACUUUUCUGAGCAGUCUUUUGUAACUAUGAACCACACUUAAAGUUCCUUAUAUUCUAGGAUGCAGAACUAAACAUAAUAUUAUUGUACUCUGAACUGUCAUGCUUUACCUGAUCCAACAACAUUCUUUUUGAAAGGGAGGGGGUUCAAUUCAUAAAUGCAAGAAUUCAAGGAACCAUUUCAUUUCCCAAAAGCCAGUUUUUCGAGACAUUUCUCUCAAAUGUGCCACCCACAGUAACUAUUCUCAUAGAUUACAUUGAGAUUUACAUAAUUCAUAUUAAAUUACAAUUUGUCAGGAUAACAGCUGAUUCGCAUCUAAAUGUUAAACUUUAUUGUAGCACUACAUGGGUGAGUGAGAACAAGCCUGAAUGUGUUUCUCCCACUUCUCUCACACAGGCCGAAGGACUUUGUUAGCAUCCAGCUUUAAAGAAUCCUGGCUUGUCAUAUCAUCUGAAUGAGAGAUCAUGGAAACUCUGAUUAGUUUGUUUGGUUGGAUGCUGCAAGUCGCUUCUGGUGUGAGAGAAUAAGCCAUCAACAAAGACAUUGCCUAGGGGGUGCCAGGAUGUGUUACGAUCCUGUGGGGAGGCUUCUCUCGUUUCUGAUCACAACCAAACACAGUGAAGACAUCUGCCCUUGCACUUUGCUACUCUGCUGCUUAAUACGCAUGCCCAGAGUGGAACACAUCUCACCAUGUUAAAACAGUGGACAUGGCUCUUAAUGAGAGAUGCUGCAUUAUCACAGGAUGUCUUCCCCCCACACCACUGGAGAAAUUAUACUAUGUAGCUGGUAUUGCACCACCUGACAUGAAAGGACCAAGGCAGUGACAUCUCUGGCCCACCCUCUGUUCGGAUAUCAGUCAGCACACAAUCCCUUAAAUCAAGAAAUAGCUUUCUAAGAUCAACAGAGAUACUUGCAGGAACAUCUCAGCAAGCAAGAGUCCAAAAGUGGCAAGCUAAAACCUGGAACCUCAAUCCAUGGCUGAUACCAGAUGAGAGAUUCCCUCCUGGACACACAGAAGACUGGGUGACUUGGAAGGCACUGAACAGACUGCGCUCUGACAUCACAAGAGCCGACCUUAAGAAAUGGGGUUACAAAGUGGAGUCCACAACAUGCAAGCGUGGAGAAGCGCAAACCACAGACCCCCUAUUACAUUGCAAUCUGAGCCCUGCCACAUGCACAAUGGAGGACCUUCUUACAGUGACACCAGAGGCACUCAAGUGGCCACCUUCUGGUCUAAGGACAUUUAGUACAAUGCCAAGUUCUUAACUUUGUGUUUUUAAGUACAUGAUAACUAUACUCUCAAUUCACUUCUGACACAAUAAAUUUUCUUUUCUUUUA